rnacentral:tRNA from 1 species
GUCCCUGUAGCUUACUUAAAGCAUAGCACUGAAGAUGCUAAGACGGCUAGUUUAACUUUCCCAGGGACA